CAACAAUUAACUUUUUAUUUUGUUUUGAAGGUUAUCCACAUCCAUAACAUUAUCUUUUGGUGGCAGUGUUUCAGUCCAGUAGUUUCCCAAUUUGACAUGUUAAAUUUGGCAUUCGUUUUUUUCUUCAUUAAGCCCUUUAUUUUUGUGCGCCUUAUCUCUUACUUUCUCUCUCAUUUUUUCCCCAGAUUAGAAGUAGAGUUGCACGUGUUUUGGGGCUAGUUAUCAACAUGGUGCAUUGAGCCCUUGGUGGUUACCUAUUCCAACCUUGUUGAUUUAUCCACAUCAAUAUAUUUAUGCUUUGAUGGAGGUCUUUCAAUCCAGUGGUUACCCAAUUUGACGGUUUUCUUUGUCAUUCGUUUCUUAUUCCUCAUCAACUUUUUUCUGCUCGUCAUAUUCUCUCUCAUUUUUUUCAGAGAUUAGAAGUAAAGUUGCACAUUUGUUUGGGGGGAGUUAUCAACAUGGUGCAUUGAGCCUUUGGUGGUUUACCCUUUUCUAACCUUGCUCAUUUCGGAUCAUGCAUUCAUACUCUUCUUUUUAAUUUCCGCAUUCACUUUUAUUUCGAACUAGAAAAUAUCAAGCCCAACAAUUAACUUUUAAUUUUUGUUUUGAAGGAAUUUUGUUUGAAUGUUAUUUGCAUCAAUAACAUUAUCCUUUGGCCCCUGUGUUUCAGUCUAGUGGUUACCCAAUUUGAUGUGUUUUAUUUGUCAUUCUUUUUUUGCUCUUCAUUUAGCUCUUUGUUUUUGUGCAUCUUAUCCCUCUCUUUCUCUCGCAUUUUUUUUCUUCCAGAGAUUUUAGAAGUAGAGCUGCAUGUGUUUUGGGGGAUGUUAUCAACAUGGUGCAUUGAGCCCUUGGCGGUUUACCUUUCAAACCUUGUUUAUUAAUCCACAUCAAUGCCAUUAUGCUUUGGUGGGGGUGUUUCAAUCCUUUGGUUACCCAAUUUGACGUGUUUGUUUUUUAAUUCGUUUCUUAUUCCUCUUUAAGCCCUUUUUCUGCGUCUUUUUAUCUUUCUUUUUUCCCAGAGAUUAGAAGUAAAUCUGCACAUUUGUUUAGGGGGAGUUAUCAACGUGGUGCAUUGAUCCCUUGGUGGUUUACCUUUUCUAACCUUGGUCAUUUCUUUUUUAGAGAUUGAGGUGCCUAAAUUUAUGAAUUAUUAUUUAAAUACCCUUCCCUAUUUUAUGUUUACAACUUGUCUUGGCAUUCACUAUCGAGUUCUUGCUAGUUACCUGUUCUCUGGGUAAUUUUAGUUAUUGACUUGAAUUUUCUGUACCUUUUUAUUUUUUCCUUGAUUAGUUGACAAAAAAAAGUAGUCCUUCAUUUUUUUGUUUUUGUUUUUCCUUGAGUCUUCUUUUGUCUUCCUUAUCCUGUUGUUUUUCUCUUCCGAGUGUCCCCAGGCUCCGAGGCAAACUAUUAACUUGGUGCAGAGGGGCCCUAGUGCAGUAAUAUUUCUAGCUUAAUUGAUUUUUUUAUCUGAAUUUUGAAGGUGCUUUUGUAUUAUUGUUUUAAUACUCUUCCUUUCCAUAAUGUUGACAUAGGGAAUUUGGUAGCCUUCUCCGAGUAGGUGGGGCUCUGACUUAUUUUAUCAUUUUUUGUCCAUGAGCUAUUUUAAGUUGAAUUCAUCAGUUAUUUACCAACUUGUUUUGUGAUCCUGAUCUUUGCAUUAUCCACUGACAAUCAGAAGCCUAAGCUUGACCUCUUAUUAUGAUAGGCUGUGAUGUAUUAUCUUUCGUGGUUUGCUCCUGGUUUCGUGCAAUGGGUAGUUCUGAACUCGACUUGUCAGAUUUUUCUUGCUUUUAAUUGUUUUACGCCUAACAUGGAAAAUUUCAAUUCUUUUCUAUUUUGCAACUUCCCUGCUGCCACUGUUGGCAUUUUGCUGCUAUCAAGGAUACUGCCAUCCGGUAAUUCCAAACUGGGAAGCCUGUAAAUUGUGUUUCAUAUGUUAAUAAUUUGGUCUUUUCUUAUUGAUAAUAUUACUGUGAGAGAACUUCGGCCUACAUAAUUACGUCAACCGGUGUUUGCAGUUCCUUAAUUGAUUGCAUUUUGUUCUCUCUUUUGUUUUUUUUAAAUGUUUUUAAUCUGUGUGGUUGUCUACUGUGCAUUGUUCCUAGGUUGACUUGGAAAAAACUAGAGUAUUUAGUCGUUGAGGUUCGAAAAAUUAAUUGUAUUAUGUGGUUUUGUAAAUUGUAAUAAAUUUUGAUCUAAUGUACAUCACUUGUAUCUUAUGUAUAAUAAUUUAUCUCAUUUUGAAGGAUAUAUUUUUGACUCUUGAACAUUUUGACUAAGCCUUGUCAGUGGUUUUGGAGCAGGCAUUCUUACUCUUUUCUAUAUCAGCAUUCACAUUUAUUUCUAAACAAAAAAUAUCAAGCCCAACAAUUAACUUUCUACUUUUGUUUUGAAGGAAUUUCGGUUGAAGGUUAUCUACAUCAAUAACAUUAUCCUUUGGUCCCCGUGUUGCAGUCCAGUGGUUACCCAAUUUAUAGUGUUUUAUUUGUCAUUCUUUUUGUUUUUCAUUUAGCCCUUUGUUUUUGUGCAUCUUAUCCCUCUCUUUCUCUCGCAUUUUUUUCUUCCAGAGAUUAGAAGUAGUGUUGCAUGUGUUUUUGGGGAAGUUAUCAACAUGGUGCAUUGAACCCUUGGUGGUUUACCUUUCAAACCUUUGUUCAUUUCUUUUCUACACAUUGAGUGUCUAAUUUUAUUGAUUAUUCUUUAAAUACUCUUCCCUGAUUUACUACAUGGUCAACUUGAGAUGGCAUUUGCUAUCUAGUUUUGGCUAGUUUCAUGUUCUAUGUGUAUCUUUAGUUAUUGAAUUGAAUUUUCAGUACCUUUUCUUUUGAGAAGUUAACAAUAAAAAGUAAUCCUUCGUACGUUGUUUUUGUUCUUCCUUUAGUCUCAUUCUACUCCCUUAUCCCCUAGUUUUUAUGUUCAGUGUUCCAAGGGAUAGUGGGUCUUUAGCGAAAUAAAUUUGUCUGGCAUAGUUAAAUUCUUUUCUGAAAUUUUAUGGUGCUUACCUAUUGUAUUCUUGUUUUAAUGGUCUUCCCAUCCGAUUAUGUUGACAUAUAGGGCAUUUGGUAACCUUCUUUAUUGGAGGAGGCGAGGUUCUGACUUAUUUUAUUUUUUUUGUCCAAAAUUAUCUGGAAUUGUAUUCAUUGGUUAUCUAACAGCUUGUUUUGUGACCCUUGUCUUUCUGUUGUCCACUGACAUUCAGAAGCCUAAGCUGGACCUCUUAUUAUGAAGGCUGUUGUGUAUUCUCUUCCUUGUUUGCUCCUGGUUUCAUGCAAUGGGUAGUUCUGGACUCAAUAAUUUUCAGUUUUUUCUUAUUUGUUACCUAACCAGUUAUCGUCUAACAUUUCACAUUUGAAUCAUCUUCUAUUGUGGACUUCCCCACCACUGUUGUUGCUACUAUCAAGGUAGUGUUAUCUUGUACUACCAAAUAGGAAGCAUGUAAAUUGUGUCUUAUGUUAAUAGUUUUGUCUUUUCUUUAUGAUAAUCUUACUGUGAGAGAACUUUGGUCUACGUUGUAACAUCAACCGGUGUUUGCAGUUCCUUAAUUGAUUGCAUUUUCUUCUCUCUUUUUAUUUCUUUUUUAAAAUUUUCUAAUAUGUUUGUGGUUGUCUACACUGCAUUGUUUCUAGGUAAAGAUAAUAUUACUGUGAGAGAUCUUGGGUCUACGUUGUAACAUCAACGGGUGCUUGCAGCUCCUUAAUUGAUUGCGUUUUCUUCUCUUAUGUUUUUUUAUUAAAAUUUGUUCAAAUAGUCAACAAUUAACUUUUUAUUUUGUUUUGAAGGUUAUCCACAUCCAUAAUUUGGCAUUCGUUUUUUUCUUCAUUAAGCCCUUUAUUUUUGUGCGCCUUAUCUCUUACUUUCUCUCUCAUUUUUCCCCCAGAUUAGAAGUAGAGUUGCACGUGUUUUGGGGCUAGUUAUCAACAUUGUUCAUUGAGCCCUUGGUGGUUACCUUUUCCAACCUUGUUGAUUUAUCCACAUCAAUAUAUUUAUGCUUUGAUGGAGGUUUUUCAAUCCAGUGGUUACCCAAUUUGACGUGUUUUCUUUGUCAUUCGUUUCUUAUUCCUCACCAACUUUUUUCUGCUCGUCAUAUUCUCUCUCAUUUUUUUCAGAGAUUAGAAGUAAAGCUGCACAUUUGUUUGGGGGGAGGUAUCAACAUGGUGCAUUGAGCCUUUGGUGGUUUACCCUUUUCUAACCUUGCUCAUUUCGGAUCAUGCAUUCAUACUCUUCUUUUUAAUUUCCGCAUUCACUUUUAUUUCGAACUAGAAAAUAUCAAGCCCAACAAUUAACUUUUAAUUUUUGUUUUGAAGGAAUUUUGUUUGAAUGUUAUUUGCAUCAAUAACAUUAUCCUUUGGUCCCCGUGUUUCAGUCUAGUGGUUACCCAAUUUGAUGUGUUUUAAUUGUCAUUCUUUUUUUGCUCUUCAUUUAGCCCUUUGUUUUUGUGCAUCUUAUCC
rnacentral:lncRNA from 1 species